AUUGAACGCUGGCGGCAUGCUUUACACAUGCAAGUCGAACGGUAACAGGCCGCAAGGUGCUGACGAGUGGCGAACGGGUGAGUAAUGCAUCGGAACGUGCCCAGUCGUGGGGGAUAACUACUCGAAAGAGUAGCUAAUACCGCAUACGAUCCAUGGAUGAAAGCGGGGGACCGUAAGGCCUCGCGCGAUUGGAGCGGCCGAUGUCAGAUUAGGUAGUUGGUGGGGUAAAGGCUCACCAAGCCAACGAUCUGUAGCUGGUCUGAGAGGACGACCAGCCACACUGGGACUGAGACACGGCCCAGACUCCUACGGGAGGCAGCAGUGGGGAAUUUUGGACAAUGGGCGCAAGCCUGAUCCAGCAAUGCCGCGUGCAGGAAGGAGGCCUUCGGGUUGUAAACUGCUUUUGUACGGAACGAAACGGCUCUGGUUAAUACCCGGGGCUAAUGACGGUACCGGAAGAAUAAGCACCGGCUAACUACGUG
rnacentral:rRNA from 1 species